AACGAACGCUGGCGGCAUGCCUAACACAUGCCAGUCGAACGAGACCUUCGGGUCUAGUGGAGCACGGGUGCGUAACGCGUGGGAACCUGCCCUUAGGUUCGGAAUAACUCCCCGAAAGGGGUGCUAAUACCGGAUAAUGUCUUCGGACCAAAGAUUUAUCGCCUUUGGAUGGGCCCGCGUUGGAUUAGCUAGUUGGUAGGGUAAAAGCCUACCAAGGCGACGAUCCAUAGCUGGUCUGAGAGGAUGAUCAGCCACACUGGGACUGAGACACGGCCCAGACUCCUACGGGAGGCAGCAGUGGGGAAUAUUGGACAAUGGGCGAAAGCCUGAUCCAGCAAUGCCGCGUGAGUGAUGAAGGCCUUAGGGUUGUAAAGCUCUUUUACCCGGGAUGAUAAUGACAGUACCGGGAGAAUAAGCGCCGGCUAACUCCGUG
rnacentral:rRNA from 1 species